UACGUAGGGUGCGAGCGUUACUCGGAAUUACUGGGCGUAAAGCGUGCGCAGGCGGUUUUGUAAGCCAGAUGUGAAAGCCCCGGGCUCAACCUGGGAAUGGCAUUUGGGACUGCAAGGCUGGAGUAUGGCAGAGGAGACUAGAAUUCCUGGUGUAGCAGUGAAAUGCGUAGAUAUCAGGAGGAAUACCGAUGGCGAAGGCAGGUCUCUGGGCCAAUACUGACGCUCAUGCACGAAAGCGUGGGGAGCAAACAGG
rnacentral:rRNA from 1 species